AUUGAACGCUGGCGGCAGGCCUAACACAUGCAAGUCGAGCGGAUGAAGGGAGCUUGCUCCUGGAUUCAGCGGCGGACGGGUGAGUAAUGCCUAGGAAUCUGCCUGGUAGUGGGGGAUAACGUCCGGAAACGGGCGCUAAUACCGCAUACGUCCUGAGGGAGAAAGUGGGGGAUCUUCGGACCUCACGCUAUCAGAUGAGCCUAGGUCGGAUUAGCUAGUUGGUGGGGUAAAGGCCUACCAAGGCGACGAUCCGUAACUGGUCUGAGAGGAUGAUCAGUCACACUGGAACUGAGACACGGUCCAGACUCCUACGGGAGGCAGCAGUGGGGAAUAUUGGACAAUGGGCGAAAGCCUGAUCCAGCCAUGCCGCGUGUGUGAAGAAGGUCUUCGGAUUGUAAAGCACUUUAAGUUGGGAGGAAGGGCGGUAAGUUAAUACCUUGCUGUUGUGACGUUACCAACAGAAUAAGCACCGGCUAACUUCG
rnacentral:rRNA from 1 species